UCACUUAGUAAUGGGUGCAUUCACUGGACACUGCUAAUGUGAAGACUAAUGGUGAUUUUUUUAAUUGAUACAAAUAUUUGUGGUGUAACAAAAUAUGACAUAUAUUUAACAAAAUAUUUAUCAUUUUAUAUGUUGGAAACAUUUCAAGUCCUCUCUUGUAUCUAUUUUGAAAUGUAUAUUACAUUGUUGUUAACUAUAAUCACCCUGCUCUGCUAUCAUACACUAGAAUGUGUUUCUUCUACCUAACUGUAUGAUUGUGCUCAUUAACCAAUGCCUUUAUCUACCCCCAGCCACCCACUAAUGUGAUUUUUACCAAGAGUUUCAUGUCUUUAUAUCUUUGUAGAGUCUGGCCAACUUUUACCCGUUCAUCAACUCUCAGUGCCCAUGUCACUUUCUUUUUGUGGCUCUCCAGACUCAGCUAGGUGCUUAUGUUUCCACAGCCUUUCUCUGACUGUGUGGGGAUUUGUCUGUAUACCUCACCAGAUGAGAGCUUCAGAAGAGCAGAAUUGAAUCAUUCAUCUCCAUGUCUUCAGUGCCAACCUCAAUGCCUCAUCCCUUGAGAGUUUGUUGAGUGUUUGUAGAACAAAUGUAAUCUCUAAUGAUGGUGUUGUCAGAUAUCUGGCUUUAAACUGGCAAUUUGGCUUUUAAGUACUGUGUUCAGAAAAUUAACUGAAAAAAUAAAUACUAGAAUUAUGUCAGUUUAGAGACAAAAGAUGCAUUAAAAAGAAAUAAAAACGGAAAGUCACAAAAAUGCAAUGUAAAUUAUAAUAUAAGAUAGCAUGUACAUUAUCAUUAAUGAACUAUUCCUAUUGUAUAGGUUUUUUUUUUAUUGUGGCAGACUUUUACUGUGUGUCUCAUAUUUUCAUUGAAACUUUAUAGGCAGCCUUGUCAGUGUGCACUGACUGUGAGAGCGGCAGGACAGCAGGGACUCUAGAGAUCGUUCGGUCCAAAUACUGGUCAAUUGAAGAAAUACAACCACUCAUUUUUAGAGUGCACAAAGGCAGGCAGAUUUCAGUGACACAGUCUUUUGUGUGCCAUAGUGGGCAGAGGAGCCCCACUGACUGCAGACUUUCCACCAUACCAUGCUACUUUCCCAGCGACCCCUCAUGUACAGUCUAGGAAGCAGCUGUUGGGGGUUGGUGGAUGUCUUCUGUUUUUAUACACACUUUCCCUUUGGCCGUCCAUGUGCUCUGGAGGAAGAAGGGAGUUGCUGCAAUACAGGUCCACACCCUUACGUCAGUUUAUAGGAGCGGCCCUCACAUAUGUGAAUAAUAACAAUAGUGGCACCAUUGAUUGAUGACCUGUGCUGGACUGAUUACAUAGGUUAAGUCACAUCUUCACACAACCCUUCAGGGUCGCUUCCUUUUUAUAGAUGGGGAUGAGGGUUGCAAAGAUUAUUUAGGUAUCACAUCCACAUCACAGAGCCAAUAAGUGGUGAAGCCAGGUAGCUCUAACUCCCCAAAUUCCAUAGGUUUUCCAGAUACCACACAGCCUUUUGUAAAGAUAAGAGGAUAUGGUGAACUAUCCAUAUUUGUCAGGUAAUAUGAUAUAUCAAAAGGAACAAAGCACCAUGCUUUCUAAAGUGCUUAAAGACCUACCUAUCGUUAGAUAAAUGAAUACAUGAAUGAGUAUGUGAUUCUUAAAAAGAAAAAAACAUACUUCAUUACAACAUAG
rnacentral:lncRNA from 1 species